GAUGAACGCUAGCUACAGGCUUAACACAUGCAAGUCGAGGGGCAGCAUGAACUUAGCUUGCUAAGUUUGAUGGCGACCGGCGCACGGGUGAGUAACACGUAUCCAACCUGCCGAUGACUCGGGGAUAGCCUUUCGAAAGAAAGAUUAAUACAAGAUGUUAUCAUGAGUAAGCAUUUUCGCAUGAUUAAAGGUUUACCGGUGUAAGAUGGGGAUGCGUUCCAUUAGAUAGUAGGCGGGGUAACGGCCCCACCUAGUCUUCGAUGGAUAGGGGUUCUGAGAGGAAGGUCCCCCACAUUGGAACUGAGACACGGUCCAAACUCCUACGGGAGGCAGCAGUGAGGAAUAUUCGGUCAAUGGACGAG
rnacentral:rRNA from 1 species